UUCAACGGAGAGUUUGAUCCUGGCUCAGGACGAACGCUGGCGGCGUGCUUAACACAUGCAAGUCGAGCGGUAAGGCCUUUCGGGGUACACGAGCGGCGAACGGGUGAGUAACACGUG
rnacentral:rRNA from 1 species